UCUCUCUCUCUCUCUUGAUAUUUUGGAUUUUGUGGUUAAUCAAUCUGUUGAAGAAUCUCCUGAUCGGUGUAUUUGGAUAUGGCGAUGUGUAGGGAUCAAGCCAGGGAUCAAGGGACCGUCGAUGGUAACAGGAGGAUCUGUGUUUAAAAUGGCGAGCGCCUUUUGCGCCAAGGCGCAAGGCGCACUCAGGCGACAGCUCCAUCGCCAUGCACCUCCGAGGCGAGGGUGUGGUCCCUAAGGCGCGCGCCAUGGAGCGCCUUUGUCCGAGGCGAGGUGAUCAAAGGCGAUGAAAAGGCGCGCCAUGGAGACUCUACACGUAAACCGGACUAAAUCAGGAGAAGCUGUUAGAAGAGAAAGGAACAAGCUGUCUGAACGGCUUCCCACGUUAGUCAUCAAGGCAAGCGCCAUAUUGCGCCAUGGCGCAAGGCGCAAGGCUUGGACCGUCUCGCCUUAGAGCGCCAUGCGCCAUUUUAAACACAGAGGAGGAUUGAUCAGACUCAUGGGUGGUUUCAUGUACGCUUACCAGAACUCUGCGGGUCGGCUCAUGGGAUUUUUCCCUAACGAAGGCGAGGUCGCUACUCACCAGAAACACAAGUGUGGUGGUGGUUCCUUCAAUUGAAUCUUUCAGGGUUUUUCCCUGGGUCCUUUAAUAAUAAAAAAAAAACUGAGCGUGGUGGUGGUUCCUUCAAUUGCAAUGAGGGUUCUACACUGCUGCAAUUAGACUAAUUUUGUAGGAGCUUGUUUUAGCGUGGUUUGUGUAAGUAUUGGGUUGCAGAGGGACUGAUGAACAAGGGAAAAGCUGCACUUGAGUUUCAUAAAGUCGUAUAAAGUUUUGAUUUUUAUGCGUUUUAUGUUAUGGGUUUUAGUGUGACUUGGAAGCAAAGCCUUGGAUCUGUGGAAUCUUAGCUGAGGAUGUCCUCGAGAGUGUUAAGGUCAUAUAAAGUUUGGAUCUUUAUACGUUUUAUGUUAUGGAUUUUAGUGUGAUUAUGGAAUCUUAGCUUAUGAAGAAUGGUUUAGCUGGAUAUGAUGGAGUUAUGCUUAUUUGUUGGAACUUAUGAAGAAUGGUUUAGCUGGAUAUGAACGAGAACUUGACAAGCAAGUCCCAUUGAUGGAUGACAUGGAAACAAAGGAGAGAUUCGUUUAACUAUAUAUCGUCAUUUUUGGACCAUCAUUAGUCAGUUGAAGAAAAUAUUAGCUAGACAUGUAAAUUAUGCAUGGUUGUCUUAGGUUGAUGGAGCAACUUCGGAUUUGAAGAACACCAAUGAAAUGCUAAGAGCAUCUCCAAGCAUCUCCAUUGGAGAUGCUCUUAGCAUCUUCUGGAAUUUUCUUUUAAUCGACGUAUUCUUCUGUAAUUAAUCUAGAAUUCCUAAAGUUUCAGUUCGAAUAAACAAUUUACUUUUCGUUCUAGAAAAGUACUAUUUUUUUGUCGACACUAAAAAUUAUUUAUACUGGAUUUGAGAUCUAAAAUCUAGACUGGAAGUGAUUUUUAGACAAUUAUUUACAGAGACAUUGAGACAAGGUAUUGGAAAAUAGAACAAGGGCGAAUUAACAUUAAUAUAACAUAAUUCAGUAUGUACACAAACACAACAUAACAAUCUAAAGUUACAUUAG